UGCACCCCUAGCUCAAUUGGAUAGAGCAUCGGUCUACGGAACCGAAGGUUGCCCGUUCGAAUCGGGCGGGGUGUAA
rnacentral:tRNA from 1 species